UGUAGCUCGGUGCGUCAGGAAUGCGAUAAAAACUUCAAUAUUGUAUGAGUUUUAUCGAAAAGCUGACUACAUUUUUAGUAUGCUACGGAUUACGAACGAAAUGGGUCAUCGGGUUUUUAUGUCUUACGGGAAUUUGUAGAUUGAUUUGGUACGGUAUUCUCCUGCCCGUUAAAUGCAAGAUUUGGUGUAGAUCUUGAUUGUGUGAACGUUUUGAGAAUUAAUGAAUAACAAAUGGACGAUGGAGCGCCAGCUUGCAGAAAGUUGGUGGCACGAUGAAGCUUUCGGUAAGUUUAGCAUUAACUUUCCUUAGUUAUGAUGUACAUGGACAGCUUUUAGUCUUUAUUGAUUUAAACCAGUAAACACACAUUUGGAAAACAAAUAAUGUAAUAAAUCUUUCUGAAAUUCAUUAAAAACACCGGCCAUACUAAUGCGAGGAAGGCCAUAUUUGCAUCAUGGAAACACGUAUAUUCUUCAUUUGAAGUAGUAAGUUUAAGCAAGAACAAAUGUUUUGCCUUUACCUUUUUUCAGAAGGAAAGUGAUAAGCACAUUUAAUUCCGAUAAAUGCGGCUGGGAUCCGAACCCGAAACCUAACGGAUCUUAACUCCAAUACCUUCUUAAUUACACGCAGUUUAACUAUUAAUGUCUUUGCAAUUGCACGAGUGAUAAAUUUUCAACUUCAGUACUCAGAGGAGAAAAUUGAUCGAGUUUUUAUUAUUAUGGUCUGCUUAUACAAGACAAAAGAAUUCGGACACUUUCACAGUCAACACAAAAAUAUUUUAGAAUCAAGCGUUUUUUCAUCAAGUUGACGACCGCCUAAUAACCCGAAAUUUCUAAUUCUUCAAACGAUGGCCGCCUGAGCUUUUCGUCACACCAAAACUUUUUUCAUUUCAUUUGUUGAAUUAUACUACAUACUUGCAGUAUAAAACUUUCCGUUUCGGAAACUGCGUCUAUGGAUCUAACAAAUCAACCAAUUAAAAAACAACACCCUUGUAUACAAUGGUACAAUAGAUUUAUUAAAUAACUGGCAGUAGAGUUACCUUUAUUUACACACUUAAGUAAUCAUAAUCCUAUGCUAGUUUUAUUCACAUUUAAGUAACCCGAACUUAAUUCUCAAAUACUUUAACUUCUUUAUCCUCUGAUUUUUACCAUUUAUCAAUUAAUUCCACAUUAACAUACAAUAUUGAACAAUGAUUCAGUCACACCUGAUUUGAAAUUAAUAAACGUUUGAAAAUAAACAAUGUGAAAACGCUAACAGGCACAGC